UUCCCUUUGCACUUCCGACCGAGGCGCGCGCCCCUUAACAAGACCAAGCUUGUACAAUCACAUGACGGGCAGCAACGUGAUUUCUGCUGAAAUCAAUUAGUUAAGUGAAUUUACAAAGUCUACGGUCACUAGAAUGAAGGCACCACGGAGAAUCCUACAGUGAUGGAGGAGAUGAGCAGUUUCCUAAAUUACUGCUUGGGGUUUUUAAGAAGAAAGGAAGCCAUGGCAUGAUGGUUUCUCAAUCGGUUUAUUUCUUAUUCGACCAAGGAAAUGACACUUAAAAAGCAUAGAAUAACUUCAAGUACAGGUUUUUUUGAUGAACAGUCUUAAGGAGGAAGAGCAUGAGUGAGGAGGAGGAGGAAGAGGGUGAAGGUGUGUUUAGCUUGCAGAGCAGACUCUUCCUCUAUCAUGCAUCAGCCGUAUACUUAAUUGCGAAGCAGAAGGAAGCCUGUGACUUCCGUUUUCCUCUUCAGAUCUUUCGCUUUGGAUUAUAUUUCGCUCUGGCUAUAGCAGUGGACUCUCGUCAGUCUCCAACACCAACCAGCCCGAGCCAAGGAGCAUCUUGCAGAGGGUAAUCCAUCUCCAUCACUUAAAUGAUUAUCCCCAUUAAUC
ensembl:processed_transcript